UACGAGAGGCCCAAACGUUAUUCGGAAUUACUGGGCUUAAAGAGUCCGUAGGCGGCGCGGAAAGUGGGGUGUGAAAGCCCUCGGCUCAACCGAGGAAUUGCGCUCCAAACUACCGUGCUUGAGGAACCUAGAGGUGAGCAGAACUGAUGGUGGAGCGGUGAAAUGCGUUGAUAUCAUCAGGAAUACCGGAGGCGAAGGCGGCUCACUGGGGGUUUUCUGACGCUGAGGGACGAAAGCCAGGGUAGCGAAC
rnacentral:rRNA from 1 species